GCUAAUUCCUAUCAUCCCUCUCUCUUUCUGCCCUGUUUUUGCUUAUUCAUUCCCAUUCCUCGCUCCUUUUCGCUAAUUCCAAUUACUCUCCACCCCCUUUUUCGCUUAAUCUUUCCCAUCAUUCUCCACCCCCGUUUUUCGCUUAUUCCUUCCCACCCCCCCCCCUGUUUUUGCUAAUUCCUUUCCAUCCCUCUUUCUCCCUUGUUUUCAGUCCCUUCUAAAAAAAAUAAACUUAAGUAAAGAAGAAUAAGUGAUUACGGCACCAACCAAUUGUACUUUCGUAUUCACAAUUGAUCGUUAGCCUUUGUGUUACGGGGUUCUGGCCGCCCAAACUACGGGUUGUGAGCUUGGGUUAAUAAUGAUAAUUACUUCUUGUUAAGAGCUUUUUCCAAAGUUACAAAGCGCUGAUCUCCUUUGAUCCUUCUACAGAAACAAUUCACAGUUCUUGUGCUUGGCUUUCAUUUCGCCAUUACUAACCGUCAAACCGGCGAAAUCUUAGCCUAUAAACUCUUGGAUAAAAUAAGAUAAUUAAAAGGCACACAUUAAAAUCUCUUUAAAGCACGGGCGGGAAUGAAAGGAUAAGGGGGAUCCUUUGUUUUUAUUUCUCUGCCACAGCCCGUUCUAUUGCUUUUGAUUUUAUGUAGAUUAAAAAUUAUAAUCACAAGCCCUUUGAAGCACUUUACUUCAGGGGCGUUGGAGCGAAUUUGAAGGGAGGGGGGGGGGGCACUAGGAAAAAUGGCACCUUCUCGUUAAAAGGGCACUAAAU